AGUGACAGUACUCCUACAGGCCCUACAACCAGAGAGUCAUACAGUCUCCCAAGCAUGGAGAUUGUGAAGACCCCAGUGACGGGGAGCCAACGGUACAUUUCUGUGAAAAGGUCACUGAAGAGGGAAUACUCUUUUGCUUCCAUGGGAAGCCAUGUGGUCCUUAGACACUGACCCACCCUGGCUCUUGGAAAGUCUGACUGGUAGAGAAAAGAAGACUGAAGAAGCCAAGCAAUUCCUCAUAAACUAACUUCCUAAGAGUAAUCCCAGGGGAGACUUCAGUGAUCGCCAGCAAUUUACAAAAACAGCCCAAGAGAGGACCACCUGUUUAAUCUUGGGACACCCCACAGGGAAGUGUAACCAGAAACAAGUGUAAAAUUGUGAGAUUAACUCAUAGGACAUUUAAAACUCCCACAGGAUUUAUUUCAUUAGGUAUCCUUGAGUUUCAAUGCCUCUCUUAUUCUGUUUCAUAAUUUAUAAUGCUUUUUAUACUUUUUGCAGUGUACAAAUAGAGGGUGUGUGACAUGGUCUCCCAAAGCUUCUCUACAACUCAGUCCCUAUAAGAUAAAUAAACUAAACCUGUCCUCUCUUACAGGAGCACAUGCCACCACACAAAGAAAAACAAAAUUUUUAUUCAACGAGCCACUAGACUGUCUACAAGUCCUGUUCAAAAACUGAAAACACACCAAAAGUCAGUCUAUAUUCUCUCCAUCUGUUACCCUGUGGGUCAAUAAAGCACCCACAAAUAUUGACUCCAUUUAAAUUGAUUUGGAUGUAUGAAUAUUGAAGGACUUGCUGUGGAAGCAGUAAUGCGUGUGUGGUCCUGGAUUUUAUUUCAGCUGUGUGGUCAUCCUUCCAAGGGGUAUGGCUCAAGCUUUCGUGCUCAUGCCUACUCCGUGUCCUCUCAUGAUGUAAGAAUUUUAACUAUUUAUGGGACUCAGAGGGAAGUUUCAGUACUAAAUGACUAGGGAAAAUACCAAAGAUCUUCCCUGUCCACGUGCCGUGUGGUCUUUGCACAUCCUUGACGGAACAUCCAAAGAACGCUGACUCCUCCAUGGGUUUGGUUCACUGGCACAUGAAAACAGUCAUUCACUAUCUCAAGGUUAUAACACUUCCUUCAGGGAUCUGGCCAGUCCUUGUGAGUUCUGAAUUGUCCUUGAAGGAAUUGCUAGGUCAGGCGGGUGGUUAGAAUGGAGCUUUCUUUGCUCUACCUUGUAUUUAAAAAGCCCUGCUGGGAAUAAGACCUCAGAGUCCCAUCUGUGGAGCAGAUGCUGUGCCUGGGACUUCUCGGUCAGGACCAUGAAAAGCUGCCCCAGGACUCCCCGGCUACACGACUUCAGGUGUUGGUGUUUCUCCAAUCAGGUCUCAGUGAAGCUUACAUUGAAAUGUAAUGGAGAAGCCUGAAAACUCACUAGGAGACCACAUCGGACCCAAAGCAGGAGAAGGGGGAAAGAAAAGAUUUUCUGAAGUUAAUAAAGAUGUUCUAAUUGUGAUUUUUGCUGGAUUAAUUUUUGCCUUUUAGGGAUGAUGUUAAAGGUGAAUAACAUUUUCAGGACAAAAGUUGGCAACCGGAUUUUUCUGAAGUUUUUCUUUUUAUAUCUUAAAUUCUUAGACAAAUUAAAUCAAAGUUUAAUGCAUGUUUGUUCAUUGCUGUGGAGCUUCACUUACUGUUCAUUGCUAGGUAGCUUCACUUACAAUAAAUCAUAAAAAUUUU